AUUGAACGCUGGCGGCAGGCCUAACACAUGCAAGUCGAGCGGAUGAAGGGAGCUUGCUCCUGGAUUCAGCGGCGGACGGGUGAGUAAUGCCUAGGAAUCUGCCUGGUAGUGGGGGAUAACGUCCGGAAACGGGCGCUAAUACCGCAUACGUCCUGAGGGAGAAAGUGGGGGAUCUUCGGACCUCACGCUAUCAGAUGAGCCUAGGUCGGAUUAGCUAGUUGGUGGGGUAAAGGCCUACCAAGGCGACGAUCCGUAACUGGUCUGAGAGGAUGAUCAGUCACACUGGAACUGAGACACGGUCCAGACUCCUACGGGAGGCAGCAGUGGGGAAUAUUGCACAAUGGGCGCAAGCCUGAUGCAGCCAUGCCGCGUGUAUGAAGAAGGCCUCGG
rnacentral:rRNA from 1 species